AUUGAACGCUGGCGGCAUGCCUUACACAUGCAAGUCGAACGGUAACAGGUCUUCGGAUGCUGACGAGUGGCGAACGGGUGAGUAAUACAUCGGAACGUGCCCGAGAGUGGGGGAUAACGAAGCGAAAGCUUUGCUAAUACCGCAUACGAUCUCAGGAUGCAAGCAGGGGACCGCAAGGCCUUGUGCUCACGGAGCGGCCGAUGGCAGAUUAGGUAGUUGGUGGGAUAAAAGCUUACCAAGCCGACAAUCUGUAGCUGAUCUGAGAGGACGACCAGCAACCCUGGGACUGAGACGCGUCCCAGACUCCUAAGGGAGGCAGCAGUGAAUGAUUUUGGACAAUGGGCGCAAUCCUGAUCCAGCCAUGCCGCGUGCAGGAUGAAGUCCUUCGGGUUGUAAACUGCUUUUGUACGGAACGGAAAGACUCCUUCUAAUAAAGGGAGUCCAUGACGGUACCGUAAGAAUAAGCACCGGCUAUCUACGUGCCAGCCGCCGCAGUAACAC
rnacentral:rRNA from 1 species